CUCCUAUUGAAUCAAAGUCCCCUCCCAAGUAGCCCAGCCCUUGGGUGGACCCUUCCCUUUUGUAUCCAUUGUAAAGCAUCAGCCUCUCCUGGAGGAUCCUGUUUUGGACUUUUCAUUUCCUUGUAGCCAUGAAUAUCCUCUCCCAGAGAAGGUGGCACUUCUAGAAGACGUUUUGCUGUAAAUGAUUAAUGUUAAAUGAACAAUCAAGGGAGGACCAAGGGAUCACAAGGGCCCUGAGAAUGACAAAGGGGCAUCUCUCACAAUGUCACAGUCAACCUCACCCACACUCCAAUCAAGGUUACCCAUUCUUGAGGUCACAUGUCAAACUUAAGCCCUUCUCAAAGUCACUGAAGUCAUCACCUGCAUCCCUCCCUCCAAAGUCAUCUGUAAGUCACAUUUUUCCUGUCUCCUUGUUUGU
rnacentral:lncRNA from 1 species